GUGCUCACUUCAGCAGGACACAUACUAAAAUUAAAAUGAUGCAGAGUAGAUUAGCAUGGCCUUUGCCCAUGGAUGACAAGCAAAUUCGUGAAGUUUUCCUUAUUUUU